rnacentral:lncRNA from 1 species
CUAGAAUUUCAAAUAGAGACAAAAGUUAAGCAACUUCAGAGCCUUGCUUAAAUAGUAUUUCUAAGUACGGUAGAGACAUUCAUUAAUUCUGGUUUGGAAAUCAACUUCUCUCAUCCCAGCCUACCAGAAAUCCCUUGCCCAAAAAGGGGGAUGUCGACCUUCUGUGAAGCACUUAUGCGAAGUCCAGACUCUUAGUAGAGACAGGGCUCAAAAGUUAUACCACAUACAACAAAGUCACUUCUACGCCCGACUGCCACGCAAGCGGCUUCCCUUUUCCCUGCACACACCAUAUCCUCAGCAGUGCAUCCUUUAAACCCAAGUGUAGACUCUGGACCUUGACCCAAUAUAUGACAAAGGGCCCUUUUAUCCUUCGUAGUGAAAAAUAAGUGGGUUUUCAGAGAGAGAGAGAGUUCCUCUUUAAUAACCCCCUAGAGACUGUUGAAAGCCACAACCUUGAUGCUUUACGUGCUCAUAGAUCUUUCUCUGAGUUUAGGGGAAAAUGUAGUGAUCACUAAAAACAAAACAGAGCUCACUUUCUUAAUGGGCUUCCAAAUUGGGAUGACAGGAUGAAGCCAGAGACUUAAGCAUAUAACUGGGCUUCAUCCAACACACCUGACAGACAAAGCCCUGGGUCCAAAAUGGCUCAUCGGGGUCAGGCGCGGUGGCUCAUGCCUGUAAUCCCAGCACUUUGGGAGGCUGAGGUGGGUAGGAUCACUUAGGCUCAGGAGGUUGAGGCUGCGUGAGCCGUGAUUGCGCCACUGCACUUCAGCCUAGGCAAUAAAGCGAGACUCUGUCUCAAAAAAUAAAAUACAUUAACUGAAUAAAUUUUUUUUUUUUGAGAAGGAAUAUCGCUCUGUUGCCCAGGCUGGAGUGCAGUGGCGCGAUCUCACAGCAACCUCCACCUCCCCGGUUCAAGCGAUUCUCCUGCCUCAGCCUCCCGAAUAGCUGGGAUUACAAGCGCCUGCCACCACGCCCGCCUAAUUUUUGUAUUUUUAGUAAGACGGGGUUUCACCAUCUUGGCCAGGCUAGUCUUGAACUCCUAACCUCGUGAUCCACCCGCCUCAGCCUCCCAAAGUGCUGGGAUUACAGGCGUGAGCCACCGUUCCCAGCCUUGACUAAAUAAAUCUAAGAGCUUCCCUAAUUUAGCGUCAAACAAAAUUUCCCUUUCCCUACUCUAGUAACACAUUUCACACAUUCUCCACACUUACCCUCUGCUAUAUGCGCCCCUUCCUUUCCCAGUCACAAGGGGAUUUUUCCCUUUUCUGAAUCCUCACUACAGGGGAUUAUGAGCUCGCAGAGCGCAGAAACUGUCUUCCCUCUCCCUCUAGGGUUUAGCACAAGGAUUUGGC